UACGGAGGGUGCAAGCGUUAUCCGGAUUCACUGGGUUUAAAGGGUGCGUAGGCGGGCAGGUAAGUCCGUGGUGAAAUCUCUGAGCUUAACUCAGAAACUGCCAUGGAUACUAUUUGUCUUGAAUGUUGUGGAGGUGAGCGGAAUAUGUCAUGUAGCGGUGAAAUGCUUAGAUAUGACAUAGAACACCAAUUGCGAAGGCAGCUCACUACACAAAUAUUGACGCUGAGGCACGAAAGCGUGGGGAGCAAACAGG
rnacentral:rRNA from 1 species